rnacentral:tRNA from 1 species
AAGAUUUUAGUUUAUUAAAAACAUUAAUUUGUCAAAUUAAAAAAAUUAUUAAUUAAUAUUUCUUU